UUAACCAAUCAGAAGAAGAACUUUUGGUCACGUCACUAAUGUGGACGUCUCUGUUCGUAUCCUUUGCCGUCUAAAAUAUCAACGCAAUCCUAAAACCCUAUUCGCCUGGAUACCGUAUUCCUCCAUUAGUUACAUUUACGAACAAAAAAACCAUUCAUCUCCCCCAAUCUCAAUGUAUAUAUAGUCCCACCGAUCCCAAACCUAAUCUAAUGCAUCAAGAAGGCGAUUACCAGCCCAAAACUACCAGAGAAAUCCACCACCAAAGCACCGUUCAAAUCCCUGGUGAAGGCUCCCGCGAAAUAAGUUGCACGGUUGAUUUAAGCAACACCGGUUCCACCUCUUCCAUGGAUACUAAGAAGGCUAGUUCCACCUCCAAGUGAGAUCUAUCAUCUUAUCACAACGAAUGGUAAAUGAAACACCGACCGGUGCAGAUGAAUAAUUAAGCAAAAUAGAUAUGCUCUGGCAUUUCAUACAGUUAAUAACAGUAGCUAAGUUGAGACAGUAGAUGUCGGAACAACAAGCCACUUUGCCGAGCAAGACAGCAAGCAUCCACGGCUGAUGGUAUUUCAUGGGACAUGGAGGAAGAUGCUAUUGAGGAAGGAGAGAAGGAUGUUGAAGAAAUCGUGUAGCAAACGUAUACAGGAGAACUCUCACCAAAGCAAGAAAAAACUUUUGAGGAGAUAUUGAAACUGCUGGAUAAAGAUUGGUCAUAUGAAGAAAGCAAUUACUCCUAUGUGUCUAGUGAGCGGAGAGAAACAAACGCAGCUCGCAUAUUGAGCGGAGAAUCGCCAAGAAUAUAUACGAUAGCUUCUUGAAGAACUUGCGACCCUGCAUUCGAGAAAGUUUGGAUGGGAAAACAUGGAGAGUACCUAACGGUAAGAAGAAAGGAUUUGUAGAAGACGAGGAAGAUUUCACAAGUGAUCCAUGCUUGGUUGCUAAACAUAUAUUUCAUCGUCUUUGAAGGGAAUGAGUUACUGAAAUUUAUGAGAACCCUUACUUGAAAAACACUGUGGUGAAUAAGACAAAUCACAUGAUUGAAGAAGAUGAUUCAAUCCUCGAGAAGGCCAUUGGGUGAUAUUUUUCUUUUCUCAUGUAUUUGCCUUUUUUUUCCUUAAAAAAAUGAUUUACUGAUCCUUAACUAUUGUACAGGACGGAGACUGAGUGGUGUCCUAUAGAAUGUUUGGAUCAGAAGGUCCUUAAAAUAAGCUAAAGAAGGGAUCCAAAAUCACAAAAUCACAAAUCCCAUCACUAAGACUGAGGAGAGGGGGAGUUUCUUCAAUUAUUUCAGUCCACCUCAAGUUCCUGAUGACGAGUAGGAUCCUGAUGUAGACAUGGUAUGGCCUUCCCCAAACUGAGGGCAAAUGGAGCACGACUAUGAUAUCGGGUGAGGCUGUUGCCGCAAACGACCUUGAGAUGGAUGACGUACAAUGAUGAUAAUGCGGAUGAUAUCAACGAAGAAGAGUAUAUAUACAAAUUCAAAUUAAUAUGUCAAGGAAAAUAAAGCAAAGACAUCCCAAGAAGGGGAAAUAAAAGCGAAAGCAUCAAAGCUUUUGCCUUUGUCAUUUGUUCUUUAAGAGACAAAAUACACUAAAAAUAAACUAAUAAAUUGCCUUUUCUUUUCUUAGAAUUAUGCAGCAUGAAAAUCAAGAAAUGGUGUGGUCGUUCUCAUAGAAUGGUUUUAACACUAAAGGAGUAAAGUGAAUUUUGCAUGGAAAGAUAAUUACCAUACCAACUACUGCAGUGGGGUCUCUCCGUUCUAAUAAACAAAAUUGCAUUAAACAGAAUUAGGUACAUAAAUUUGGAUGAACGCACAGGACUAGGAUCAUAUUGACGUACAAGAACAUGGCUCUGUGUA